rnacentral:rRNA from 1 species
AGAGCGAACGCUGGCGGCAGGCCUAACACAUGCAAGUCGAGCGCCGUAGCAAUACGGAGCGGCAGACGGGAGAGUAACACGUGGGAACGUACCCUUCAGUUCGGAACAACCCAGGGAAACUUGGGCUAAUACCGAAUACGUCCGUAAGGAGAAAGAUUUAUCGCUGAAGGAUCGGCCCGCGUCUGAUUAGCUUGUUGGUGAGGUAAUGGCUCACCAAGGCUACGAUCAGUAGCUGGUCUGAGAGGAUGAUCAGCCUCACUGGGACUGAGACACGGCCCAGACUCCUACGGGAGGCAGCAGUGGGAAUAUUGGACAAUGGGCGCAAGCCUGAUCCAGCCAUGCCGCGUGGGUGAUGAAGGCCCUAGGGUUGUAAAGCCCUUUCGGCGGGAAGAUAAUGACGGUACCGCAGAAGAAGCCCGGCUAACUUCGUGCCAGCAGCCGC